rnacentral:rRNA from 1 species
GUACACGCUGUGACUAGCAUAUCAAUAAGCGGAGGAAAAGAAACUAACAAGGAUUCCCCUAGUAACGGCGAGUGAAGCAGGAAGAGCUCAAAUUUGAAAUCUUAAAGGGUUUCCCUUUACGAAUUGUAGUUUAAAGAAGUGUUUUCUGUUGAGGUUUUGGUAAAAGUUCUUUGGAAUAGGACAUCAUAGAGGGUGAGAAUCCCGUAUUUGACCUUUACUUUCAACUUUGUGAUACACUUUCAAAGAGUCGGAUUGUUUGGGAAUGCAGUCCAAAAUGGGUGGUAAAUUUCAUCUAAAGCUAAAUAUUGGCGAGAGACCGAUAGCGAACAAGUACCGUGAGGGAAAGAUGAAAAGAACUUUGAAAAGAGAGUUAAACAGUACGUGAAAUUGUCAAAAGGGAAGCGUUUGACACCAGUGUUGUUUUUCUGAAAAUCAAUUAAAGAACUGUUUAUGCUAAGCUGUUUAGACUUUAUCAGCUAUCUGUUUAGUUUUGAGCUUUUCUUUAAUGCACUUUUCAGUUAACAAGUCAACAUCAAUUUCUUUUGCUGUAAAAAAGCUUGAGGAAGGUGGCUUGAGAUUCGUCUUAAGUGUUUAUAGCCUCUUGCCUAUGCAGUCGGAGAGAUUGAGGUCUGCAGCGUAGAUCCUUCGGGGCUAAAUGCAUUUGUGCUAAGUUAUAGCAUUUUAUAGACAACUUGUUGACUAUGAUUUGUCUUGUAGCUUACUCGCUUAUGUUAUUUUACCUACGCUUAGGAUGUUGAGUCGUAGAGCACGCAG